rnacentral:sRNA from 1 species
UCUCUUCACCCACAGGCUCCCGAGGGACCACAGCUGGCAGCUCCGGGGAUGCCCUCGGCAAAGCACUGGCCUCGAUCUACUCCCCGGAUCACUCAAGCAAUAACUUCUCGUCCAGCCCUUCCACCCCUGUGGGCUCCCCCCAGGGCCUGGCAGGGACAUCACAGUGGCCUCGAGCAGGAGCCCCCGGUGCCUUAUCGCCCAGCUACGACGGGGGUCUCCACGGCCUGCAGAGUAAGAUAGAAGACCACCUGGACGAGGCCAUCCAUGUGCUCCGCAGCCACGCCGUGGGCACAGCCGGCGACAUGCACACACUGCUGCCUGGCCACGGGGCGCUGGCCUCAGGUUUCACCGGCCCCAUGUCGCUGGGCGGGCGGCACGCAGGCCUGGUUGGAGGCAGCCACCCCGAGGACGGCCUCGCAGGCAGCACCAGCCUCAUGCACAACCACGCGGCCCUCCCCAGCCAGCCAGGCACCCUCCCUGACCUGUCUCGGCCUCCCGACUCCUACAGUGGGCUAGGGCGAGCAGGUGCCACGGCGGCUGC